AUUGAACGCUGGCGGCAGGCUUAACACACGCAAGUCGAGCGGGGGAAGGUAGCUUGCUACUGGACCUAGCGGCGGACGGGUGAGUAAUGCUUAGGAAUCUGCCUAUUAGUGGGGGACAACAUCCCGAAAGGGAUGCUAAUACCGCAUACGUCCUACGGGAGAAAGCAGGGGAGCUUCGGACCUUGCGCUAACAGAUGAGCGUAAGUCGGAGUAGCUAGUUGGUGGGGUAAAGGCCUACCAAGGCGACGAUCUGUAGCGGGUCUGAGAGGAUGAUCCGCCACACUGGGACUGAGACACGGCCCAGACUCCUACGGGAGGCAGCAGUGGGGAAUAUUGGACAAUGGGGGGAACCCUGAUCCAGCCAUGCCGCGUGUGUGAAGAAGGCCUUAUGGUUGUAAAGCACUUUAAGCGAGGAGGAGGCUACUUUAGUUAAUACCUAGAGAUAGUGGACGUUACUCGCAGAAUAAGCACCGGCUAACUCUGUGCCAGCCGCCGCGGUAA
rnacentral:rRNA from 1 species